GACGAACGCUGGCGGCGUGCUUAACACAUGCAAGUCGAACGAUGAAGAAAAGAAUCGAAGCUUCGGCAGAAAUUCAUUUCGGAUUAGUGGCAGACGGGUGAGUAACGCGUGAGCAACCUACCUCUUACAAAGGGAUAGCCUCGGGAAACCGGGAUUAAUACCAUCUCACAUUGCGACGAAGCAUUUCGAUGCAAUCAAAGCUACGGCGGUAAGAGAUGGGCUCGCGUCCCAUUAACCGGAUGGUGAGGUAACGGCUCACCAUAGUGACGAUGGGUAACCGGCCUGAGAGGGUGAACGGUCACACUGGAACUGAGACACGGUCCAGAAUCCUACGGGAGGCAGCAGUGGGGAAUAUUGCACAAUGGAGGGAAAUCUGAUGCAGCGACGCGGCGUGAGUGAUGAAGGAAUUCGUUUCGUAAAACUCUGUUCUAUGGGAAGAAAAGGACGGUACCAGAGGAGAAAGCUCCGGCUAAAUACGUG
rnacentral:rRNA from 1 species